AUCUGCUGAAGGGAUGUUCUUAACUUAAUCCUUUAUUACCAAAGCAAGCUGUUGUUGUCUAUGGUUUUGGGUGGUCCACUGGAAAUUGUGCUGUCACUGAAGACAGAGACAGGCCAGAUCUUCUUCACGAUGCAGUGUUGGAAACAGUGCUUGGAGAUGGUCCAUCGUUUUUAUUUUUUAUCACACAGUUGAUGUGAUGAAUGCAAUCAUCAGUGGUUGAGGUUUUCAGGACACUCUCAGGAGCUAAGGAGAAACUCUUUUGUUGGGCCCGGUCCCAGCUGUGAGCAGACACCUGUGCCACCUCGAGGCAGUGACCCCUGCGUUUCUGACACCUUCUGUCUUCCUGUGAAUAACACCAAAAGGUAUAUUUCAUUGCAUGGAUGCUGCAGAGAGAAGAUAAAACCAACAGAGGAACUAAAGGACAUCAGAGAAGAGAAAAAGAUAAGGGGAAUAAAGGCAAGUUCAAAAUGAACUAAAUUUGGAAAUCAUCCGGAGUGCCGUUGUUCUAAUACAAAAUAUGGCCUGGCAGCACAAAUUCUGUCUGCUCAAUGUGUGACCCUGU
rnacentral:lncRNA from 1 species